UACGUAGGGUGCGAGCGUUAAUCGGAAUUACUGGGCGUAAAGCGUGCGCAGGCGGUUUUGUAAGCCAGAUGUGAAAGCCCCGGGCUUAACCUGGGAAUGGCAUUUGGGACUGCAAGGCUUGAGUGCGGCAGAGGAGACUGGAAUUCCUGGUGUAGCAGUGAAAUGCGUAGAUAUCAGGAGGAAUACCGAUGGCGAAGGCAGCUCGCUGGGACGGUACUGACGCUGAGGCGCGAAAGCGUGGGGAGCAAACAGG
rnacentral:rRNA from 1 species